rnacentral:rRNA from 1 species
GUGCCAGCCGCCGCGGUAAUACGUAGGUGGCAAGCGUUGUCCGGAUUUAUUGGGUUUAAAGGGUGCGUAGGCGGCUUAAUAAGUCAGUGGUGAAAGCCGAUCGCUUAACGAUCGAACUGCCAUUGAUACUGCUAGGCUUGAGUAUAGUUGAGGUAGGCGGAAUUGACAGUGUAGCGGUGAAAUGCAUAGAUAUUGUCAAGAACACCAAUUGCGAAGGCAGCUUACUAAAGUAUAACUGACGCUGAGGCACGAAAGUGCGGGGAUCAAACAGGAUUAGAUACCCUGGUAGUCC